CCGAUGAGUAACGAACAUAUUCGCGACGCGAGCGGACGUAUCAGUGAGUUCAUUAUUUCCGUAAACUCCUGAAAUAUAUUUAAUCCUUUCGCUACCAAUUUUGUUUUUUAGAGGUAUAAUUUUUUUUUCACUUCCACUUCAUUAGCAGAAAAAUCUAGUUUUAUGUUUGCCAAAGGAAUACAGCCGGGACAUUGAUGUUGCACUGGGAUUUUUGGGAGGGCAUAUUUAUUUCAAUGUGCGGUAACAAAUAAAGUAAUAGCUGAUGUGUUCUGACUGAAGAAACUGUUCACUCGAUUAAAUAAGAUUUAUUAAUAGUGGGGAAAACAUACAUAUAUCCCUUUGGUAGCGAAGGGGCUAAUCGGACUGCAUCACUUUUAUUAACACGUGUUUCUACCAAUCGAAUUGUGUCUCCGCGAGUGUCAGUGUCAUUGUCACGAGGGAGUAUCUGAUGUGCCACGACGAAACUGCCAAAUCGGGAAGGUCAAGGAUGUAGACUGCGGAGCUUCGAGAUACAUCAGCGAUACGUUAUACAUUCCCAGUUCGAUCUUCGUGGGAGGCUGCGUGCGGCGCGCAAAGAUAAACACCCAUACGCAAGAAUAACAUCUUCCAGGUCCCUCUAAUCACAACACACUCGGGAGAUAUCCAGUACAUAAGCGAGGAACACGAGUAGGAAAGCACUUUUGGCGGAGCUGUCGGAAAAAUGUGAGACGGAUAGUGUGUAUGUGUAUGUGUGUAUGUGCGCACGCGCGCGCGUGCGUGCGGAUCAUCCAAGGAGAUCAUUAUUCACUUGGGGAAGGAUUGACAAUUUCCGUAGGAAAACAAUUCUCGGAAGGAGACGCGCGAGGAAGUUCACCUCGGAAAUCGUUUAUUUCCAACCACAAUCUAAUCGGAACGAAUCGAACGAUCCCGCGUCAAUUUGCGACAGGGUGAUUAAAUGCGGAUCGAGCGAGAAAGGAGGAACGGCAAGAACUGACGGGACGGGACGGGUCGAGUGAUACGUCCAGGGUGUGUGAACUGUUCGAAUGAAGCAGUGUAGUUCGAGCCUCUUCAUAAAUACGUAACUUUAUUCGGUUUACCUCAAUACAUUCCACUCUGUUCUACAGCGUUUCGCAAUAUCAUCGAAAAUAGAACGGCAACUUGUGUUACGCUCGAUUCUAAUGGCACUUCUUCAAGUUCGCUAGAGGAGAUAGUGUUACGUAUACGCGUUACAAUAUAGUAUUGCGAAUACAUUCUAUAGAUUUCAACGUACCGAUUAGCAAUAAGUUAUAUGAGAGAUUUGCGAGAACCGCCUUUUUUGCCCACUUUCGCAUUACACGGAUGCGUAGAAAGAUCAAAAUUCGCCCGAGACUUCAUCGAAGAUUGCCAAUAACAAAUUUAUCCUGUGAAAGAUAGAAUUGGAAGAAGCCGACGGGAAGUUGAUUUCGCUAAAUGACGAAUUCUCAAUAUUCAGUGCAUCUCUGUGAAUUAUUUUUUUCUCGAGCGCGUUGCCAUGAUACGGUCCGAAAACAAAAACUCUGAGACUUUGUGGUUUUGUUGUAAGAUCUCUGCUCUCACUACUGUAACCUUGGAUUGAUGACGUCAGAGGCGAGAAAACGCAUGCCAAAAAUUAUUCUGUCAUUUUCCAAUAAAAAAAUAUCUGUAUGAAAGAUCUGCACUUCAGAUCACUUGAGCAUACCAAAGUAAAAGUAUGAUUAGCGAAUUUGAGUCAAAAAUUAGUAGCUAACUAGAGGCUAGAUAAAAUUUUCUAGUUCGUUGCCAACUCGUUUUUGCUGAUUAUUCACUAAAAUAUAGAAUCGGAUUUGCGAUAUAACCAUUGUUUAACCAUUACCACAUACCAAAUAUGAUAGAAUAGAGGCGCUGUCUGUUCUAAAAUACAUAACCUAGCUAUUGUAUCGCCACUAGCGAUUUCACAAAAUUAGGUAGCUAAUCAAAAUUGAGGCUACUUAAUUCCAUAAAGAUCUCAAAAAAGCAAAAUCAAGCGUUGGAUUAGUAACUGGCUAGUAACUACUUAUGCGUUUUCAUCUCAUAACUGUAAUUUUGUUUAAUCAUCAGCUAACUUACUUAUCUAGCCACUAGGAGAAGCGAACAAUAGAUUAUUGGCUAGUAGUUAGACACAAAUUUAUUGUCUCGUGAUUAGACAUCACUUUUAAUAAAAUGUUCUGAUAGUUAUCCUUUUCCCUUGGCAAAGUUAAAGAAAAAGAUUGCAUGUUGUGUUAAUUUUAAAGUUACUUAUUAAUUGAUCUAAUUAAUUGAUCAAGGGAAAAGGAUAACUUUCGCAACACUUUACACGUAUGCGCUCAAGCGAUCUAAAAUAUUCUUUCAUAAAAGUAUCUUUUUAUUUAAAAAUGGCACGCAACAAUUUUUGGCGCCUUUUCGUUUCUGACAUCAUCAAUACAAAGUCACACAACAAUGAGACCAGGAGAGCUCUAAUUUUUCUAAUAAAAUAAAAUUCGCACUAUAAUAAAGGCCACAAGACACAACACGGUGAACUUUUCCUCAUUAGAGACGUAAUAGUAUCACACUACUCCGGAAUAGAUUUCAGAUGUUGAGAGAGAUGUGCGAGAAAACAUUGAAAUAUAUAAAAUACAUAAGAAAAUAUAUGUUUACUCCUCCAAUUCCUCGGUUUUGAAGAUCGGAAAUCCGAUUUCGCGAGAUUCGAGUACCCCUCGGGGGGUGUUCUUGUCGGGAAACGCAGAAACAUCAAAACGAAACGUCUAUCAACGGCGAUUAUACGCGAAAAAAAAAUGGACAUCGCAUACGCGUCUUACGUGGAGGCACAUGUGUUCAGUCCGCGAUACCGUGUGAUAUUUACUGAACGAAUCCGCCCGGGUUUGCUUUAUCGGAGCAGUAACUUGCGAUGACCGCGAGUUCGGAGUGAGUUUAGCGUAAAUUAAUCUCACCGCCAAUUUAUCACCGAGGUAAAACGGAUAACGAUCGCCCAUUACGGAGUCGCGACAGCGACUUACCGCCUAAAACGCGUCUCGUAUCCCCUAUUACGACUGUAAAGUCCCGACGAACGACAACGUCGUUCAAAGCAUCGACGCGAAAUUCACACACGCAUACACACGCACACUCUAGACUGCCCUAGGAAAAAGUUAUACAAAAUAUGACACGAUAUCUGUCCUACGAUAUGCAAUCAGAGCGUGUUAUCACUCGUUAAGACCUACGCCUACAUUUAUUGCCAGUCGAGGGACAUAUUGCUAGCGAUAUCUGCCGUAACGAUUGCAGAAUGUAACCGUAAAAAUGUCUACGUGUAAACGCUACAUAGGUGGACAAAACAAGUCUCUGCACAUGUAUGAACUGUGCAGCCGCGAUGGUCCGUGCGAAGUCGAUAAGAAGGGGAGAAAAACGAUGUAGAGUAAAGCUCCCCCGAGCAAGAGGAGCGAUAAAAGCUUCGUGGCGCGCUCUUAAUAAACGGCAGUCUCGGCUCUGAUUCGUCAAUUUCCGCAUAGCGCGUCGCGUCAACGUCUAAUGAUUCUCUAAGAUGCAAAACUCCUUUUGGCAAAUUCGCACACGAAUGAGGUAACAAUUGUGCCAGUCGCGCAUGGCGCACACGUUAGUCCACUUGCGGCGUAAUAUGAUUCAUAUUCGAUCGUAUAUUUCUUAGAAUAUUGGGGAUACUAUUGAAAGAAGUCAAACUUAACGAAUAAGUAUAAGUACCUUUUACGAAAUCGCCUGAAAUUAUGUACACUGUCGAUGGGUCGUAUAAUUGCGCGACUAAUUCCUGUUGUGCAUUGAUAGAGAUACAAAAUGGAAAUAAUUACAAUUUUUAAUAAAUACACGGGAGUGUCUAAAGAGGAUGCGACUAACGAACAAAGAGAACAAACGUAACGACACAAGGCGAGAAGGAAAGAAAGGCAGGGUGUGUGUAACAAAAACAGCGUCGUAUAGAUGAAAAAUAUUAACAUUUGUCAUGUAACAGGUAAAACCGAGGCGGAGCACGCGCACGCGCACGGACGAUGACCGCCUUGGAGAGAUAGCUCGCAAGAAACAACAAAUCGUCCAUCUUCCAGACCACGCGUCUCGGAAAACGUCCAUUCCGUGGGUCUGUCGUUGGGAGACUCGCGUCGCAAUCACGAAUCACUACGACGCAAAAGCUCACCGUGCGUCUCAGUCCGACGUUUCAGUCAAUUGUACAGAAAUAUCAACGGCAUAUUUAACAAUAUAUGCAUAUAACGCUUAAUAAUAAAUAAACGUGUGAAGAAUACGAACGAAUGAACGAACGAGAGUCCUAACACUAGAAGAAGGAUCGAUAGUCCAUCGAGAGAGAUGGCUCACUUUACCUUCCAAUUGGAUCGACCGUUCGUGAGCGGGGGAGAUCGAACGGUCGCAGGCGAGGAGCACGACCAAUGCCUUGGAAAGUCUAACCGACGGCUAACCGACGACUUAUAUUCCUGACGACACACCAUCACUCUGGCACUUGAACAACACGCGGGGUAAACUUACGAAAAGUCGACGUGCAAAUCGACAUAAGGCAACAAUCGCGCUCCCGACACUUGCUCAGAGAUCGGUAACCGGCCCCAUCACACUGCUAUCGAUGCUGGAUGGGAUUUUGGGGUCGUGCGCGAGCGACGGCUCCUUGCCACUUCCGGAUGCGUCCGAAUUCUCUGCGUCGCUGUCGACGUCGUCGUCCUCCUCUUCCUCUUCAUCGUCGUUGUCGUCGUCCUCGUCAUAAUCGUUCUUCGCGUGACCCUUCUCGUCCCCCAAUGACAAUGACGAUGACGAUGAUGACGGUGGCACGUGAUUCGCCGAUUCCUUGAACGGGUCCGAAGCUGACACGAUGCACGCACCGGAGGCCGGGACGUCGCGAAUCUUGUUCACAGCCGUGGCACCGUUCACCUUUUUACGCAGUAUCUCCACCAGCUUCUCCAGUCUGACAAAUUAUGUUUUGCGUCACGUUAUAUGCGGUCAUCGGUGCCUCUGGAUAUGUGCCUCUUUCACCGGUAACGCGGCCAAAGAAAUAAUGUCAUUAGAAGCGGGCAAAGCAAAAAUUUCAGCGUAAAGCCAAGCCGCCGGCUAGAAAACACAAGAACGAUGCGUUUUGGUGCCUGCCGUCCAAAUGAAGCGACACGGAUGUGCUUGGGAGGAGGCCUGCCUGAGAUGAGGAAGACCGCUGCUUCCUCGAGGAGCGGGAAAGAGGAUCAUGCAAGCGGAAUGACGGUGCACUCGCGAUGCAAUUCGGUUGUGUGUCGAAGAAAGAAAUUCGACUCGGCGAAGGUUCAAUCGGAGUUCAGUCGCCGCCACGUUUGUUCAAACGCGUUGUGGACUGAGAGGCCGAGAUGAAGAGCGACGGAGCUUAUUUACUCUCGGAUCAAACCUUCGUCGAUUGUGUGACAUUCAUUACAAAUCGAUUUAUUUUAAGUUUAUACUUUUUUCUACUUGUAAAAGUACGAGUGCACAUUGCAAAUUUCGUAUAUUAGGGGCUCUCUCUUAUUUCUAGUGAAAAAUUAUUUUUGGCAAAAACGUUGAAGCAGCCUACGAGAUAAAAAUGACUUGGAAAUAUUAACAAUGAUAUGUGCAGAUGCAAAACGUGACAUCGAUGUGAGAUUGUAACACAAGUAUCAGAUGCAAAACGUGACAUCGAUGUGAGAUUGUAUCACAAGUUACAUCAAGUUUCGCGCGAAAAUGAUAUAGCGAUGAUAUGGCGUUUACAACAAGGAGACACGUAAAUAUAACAUGAAUAACGAAGGAUGUGUAUAUUUACAUACGCACACGCAAUGAUGUGUGUAAGAUACAUGUAUAUAUACGAUAUAUACACAUAUAUGAAAUGUAUAAAGACGAAACAUGCUAAGCUGCCAAAGCCAUGCUGACAGACACUUAUUGUAUGAACUAAAAUCAGAGAAAGUAUUUUAUACAUGUACAUAUUGACCUUCCAUUGUGUAACAUUUAAUAUAUAAAUAUCAACAAAUAUAUGUAUAUAUUAAAUGUAAACUUA